CUCAAAAUGAUGAUAAAUUGUCACUGACUUUGGUUAGAUUCAAGCUAUUUUUGUGAGAAUCUUAAUGUGCCAAAAUUAAAAAAACAGGAUGUUCGCUUUUGCGAGGCAUUUGUCUGAUUGAGAA